rnacentral:rRNA from 1 species
GAUGAACGCUAGCGGCAGGCUUAAUACAUGCAAGUCAAGGGGUCAGCAAUGGCACCGGCGGACGGGUGAGUAACGCGUACACAACGUACCUUUAACUGGGGGAUAGCAUUUGGAAACGAGUGGUAAUACCGCAUGUGGUUGUAGGGAGGCAUCUUUUUGCAACUAAAACUCAGGUGGUUAAAGAUCGGUGUGCGUCCGAUUAGCUAGUUGGUGAGGUAAUGGCUCACCAAGGCGACGAUCGGUAGGGGGCGUGAGAGCGUGAACCCCCACACGGGUACUGAGACACGGACCCGACUCCUACGGGAGGCAGCAGUAAGGAAUAUUGGUCAAUGGAGGCAACUCUGAACCAGCCAUGCCGCGUGAAGGAGAAGGCGCUAUGCGUUGUAAACUUCUUUUGGGUGGGAAGAAAAUGGUCAAUUUAUUGACAACUGACGGUACCAUCAGAAUAAGCACCGGCUAACUCCGUGCCAGCAGCCGCGGUAAACUACUCGUA